GUAACCUGCAAUUAGUAAUGGACUUUUAUUUUUGCGGGCCCACUUCCUGUUUGCCCCAAACUCCGCUAGCUUAUUUAAAGCCACGCCUCCAGCGCGCAGUUUAAAGAUCCUCACCUGUUUCCACUGUGGCUGUGGCUUGUUGUUGGCGUCUUCUUCACGGAGUCAUCAAAAUCUUUAAGCCCACUGAUUUGAUUGCCUGAAUUAUUGGCGGUGUUACCUGGAUGUCGCCGGGGUUCUGGCACAGCUGAUUGUGGCUGGGCGUGCCCACUCUCUUGAUAAGGUCGGGUUUUUUUUUUCCGGUUGGAUCAGAUCCUCAUCAGGAUUUGAAGAUGGCGAGCUAAGGAAAAGAACUCUGAACUUAAUGAUUUUGCAAUUAAUUUAUUCUGGGUCAAUUGUCUUGUCUCAUUGUGUUGUUGUAAUUGUUGUUUUAUUCAAAUCACUUAAUAUAUAUUCACCAAAACUAAAAACACUGCCUCCUGUUUUCUCCACACCUCGGGCUCCUAAAAGAACACUCUUCUGAUGCUGCUUUAGUAGCCGCAGUUAGCUGCCUAGCCCAUAACUGUUACAUUGUUGGCGAGCUAGCCAGGAGCCUGAUACUGUGAAUGUUUUGGUGGAUGUGUUUUGUGGUUUGUAUUGAAAUAUGGAUUUCUUUGACCAAAUUGGUAUCAAUGUUGCAAAUUCUGUCAUCAUUAGUGGUGUAACGAACACUCAAGCAGAUGAUGAGAUCAUCAAUUAUUUACGUGGUUAUGGUGGAAUUAAGGUUUUUACUGUUACUGCACGUGAGAAUCCAUUUUAUAAAAACCUGGCCGUUGAAUUCAGUAAUUCUGCAGAUUUGGAAAAGCUAAAAUCGCUUUUGCCAUACGUUUAUCCAUCUCAGGUUACAGAAGAUGUUAUAUUUGUUGUUAAAUUACUUUCAAGAGAGUGCCCUGCCACAGCCACAGUGGACACAACCUUACCUCCCGAUUACCUUCAUGAACUGAAACGUAUUUCCCAGCAGAGUGGACAAUCAUUUGAUGAUGUUUUGA